AGGCCGCACGUGAGAUCUCUUGAGAAGGCGGCACUCCCACACCCAGGUCGGUGCAUGUGGGCAACCGGAGGUUGCCAGAGGGCACGUAGAGGAUCCACCCUAUAGGGACAUCGAGCGUAGGUGGCAGCACCAAAACGCACACGGCUUGGAGGAGGAUCAGCCACACUGGGACUGAGACACGGCCCAGACUCCCACGGUGGGCAGCAGUGGGGAAUCUUGGGCAAUGGGCGAAAGCCCGAUCCAGCAAU
rnacentral:ncRNA from 1 species